rnacentral:rRNA from 1 species
AUCUCGUCCGAUCUGUCAAGUUAAGCAACGUUGGGCCUGGUUAGUACUUGGAUCGGAGACGGCCUGGGAAUCCCAGGUGUUGUAGAUA